AUUGAACGCUAGCGGGAUGCUUGACACAUGCAAGUCGAACGAGUGGCGGACGGGUGAGUAAUAUAUCGGAACGUGCCCAGUAGAGGGGGAUAACUACUCGAAAGAGUGGCUAAUACCGCAUAAUAUUGGAGCAGCCGAUAUCGGAUUAGCUAGUUGGUGGGGUAAAGGCUCACCAAGGCAACGAUCCGUAGCUGGUUUGAGAGGAUGACCAGCCACACUGGGACUGAUACACGGCCCAGACUCCUACGGGAGGCAGCAGUGGGGAAUUUUGCACAAUGGGGGAAACCCUGAUCCAGCCAUCCCGCGUGUAUGAGAAGGCCUUCGGGUUGUAAAGUACUUUUAGCAGCGAUGCGGUAUCUGCAGAAUAAGCACCGGCUAACUACGUGCCAGCAGCCGCGGUAAUAC
rnacentral:rRNA from 1 species